rnacentral:rRNA from 1 species
CCCUUAGAUGUUCUGGGCCGCACGCGCGCUACACUGACGAUGGCAACGAGUUUUUCCUUCGCCGAAAGGUGUGGGUAAUCUUUUGAGACAUCGUCGUGCUGGGGAUAGAUCAUUGCAAUUUUUGAUCUUGAACGAGGAAUUCCUAGUAAGCGCGAGUCAUCAGCUCGCGUUGAUUACGUCCCUGCCCUUUGUACACACCGCCCGUCGCUACUACCGAUUGAAUGGUUUAGUGAGGACUCCUGAUUGGCGCCGCCGCCCCGGCAACGGAGCAGCGGACUGCCGAAAAGUUGUUCAAACUUGAUCAUUUAGAGGAAGUAAAAGUCGUAACA